UUGGACUGGAUGAUCCUGUGGGUCUUUUCCAACCUUAGCAAUUCUAUGAUUCUAUGAUUCUAUGAAUCAUCACAAAAACACAAACAGGAAAAGGCAUGUAAAAGCUGAAGAUGAGGCGUGGCCUACCUCGUUGCUUCUCCUUGCUCAGAUCUUAUCAGAGAGGCACUGCUCUGACGGAAUUUGAAAAUAUUUCUGGUCCUGACUUGUUUAUCAUGAAAUGGUGGGGGCAAAGCUCCUUGCUGUCUUGAAUAUUGAGCCAAAGAACUCAGGGAAGUACUACAAGAGACUUCAGCUUUCCUUAAUGUAAAGUGCUACCUUGUUCCUACCAGUUGGUCAAACCAGUGGAUUCCAGCCCUAAUUUGACAACAACAUAAAAACCCAUUGUAACAUCUGAAGAUUUUGGAAAUGUCUGUUUCUGAAUGCAGUGCUAAUUGGGAUGUGGUGUUUGGAAAAGUCCAGCAUGUUUUACAGUUCAGUCUGACAAGCUGAAAUCUGUUACUUUUCUUCAUUUUCUUUCCAGGCGAAAGCAGUUUGUACAGUUUAAGGAUUUUAAUGAUACAGUAAUGACACGAGCAUUCAAUACAAUUUGAAUGAAAUAAGAUAUGAAAUAAUUUAUAUUGUAUGAAUAAGGGUGAACUAGUAAGAGUAUAUUACUCUCUCUGAAGAGAAGCAGAGAUACAGGCGGACAGCAGCAUUUGAAGGGAGUAUGGGAAUCAGUAUGCAGAAGAGAACAGCCAUAGGCAGGUCCUGACUGAUUCGGAGUAUCAGGCUGUAUACCCCAGAUAGAACACUUAUCAUGAAGGAACACUGGUGUGAGCAGCUGCACUGCAGAGCUUUGCUCUGAAAAUGUGUUGACUUCAACAAGGUAGGUGUCUCUGUGGCCAUCUGGAGUUGGAGGGAGGAGCUCUUACCUCCUUACAGUCGCAAGUUUGUCCCAGCAGAGUUCUCCGUAGCCCCACUUUUGGAAUCGAUUCUACUAGGUGGUACAGCCUAGUUCUGAGGAGAAAACAGGUGGUUGAAGAUACCAUCAACAGCUGCCACAGUGUGAAGGCUGCCUGAUACUCUUCUCUCUUGGACAGCACCUUGUGGGAUUUACUCUACAUGAAAUCAAUUCCCUACAUUUGAAUACAGCUGACAAACUGCUAAACAUGGGUUUGUAGUUAGUAGAAGAUUGGGCAACUUUGACUUAUCACUAUUUAAAUAAUGGUGAUAAAACUUGUGUUGUGUAAUUUAAAACAUUCACAGAAUAAUUAAAAGUCUGUGAGAUGUAGUUGUCAGAAAUGUGAAUUAACUUCAAAUUGAUUGUUUUGUUCGGAAACCAAUGAUGGUAAUUCAUGGCAUGACGAAAACUAAGAAUGUGAAACUGUAAAAUAAACUGAAUUCAGUGUCAAGCAAGUAAAUACUUUGAGGAUGUAUUUCUUAACAUUUGUAAUGAAAACAUGAAUUUGAUUAUCCAAAGCUGCUACAAAACUUGAGAAUUUUUCUAAGAGUGCAGUAGAGUUCAAUUUUGAGUGUAGGUUAAAUUUCCUCCUGGCCCCAAGGCAUCUUUUUGGUAGCUUAAAGUGAAAUGUUUUCAAUGUUGUUUACUUAUUUUAAUUCCUUUAUAUACACUUCAAAAUUGAUAAAAACUUGCUUUUUCUAAAAAUUUCAAAUGCAAAAUCAAAGCAUUUUAGAAUGUUGUAUAGUAAUAUAAAAAACUACCAUACAUACUUGGUAAGCUCUUGUUCUGUCCACAACUAUAUUAUGGAUCUGUCUGAAUUCAGUAGACUCAGAAAUAUGCCCAAUGACUCUUUUUCCUUUAGACAAUCCCUUAGAUUUUUCUUUAGCAUGAUAAAUUAAAGUUAUUUAUUAGC
ensembl:lncRNA